rnacentral:rRNA from 1 species
GAUCAUGGCUCAGGACGAACGCUGGCGGCGUGCCUAAUACAUGCAAGUCGAACGAGAACUUUUUACACCGAGUGCUUGCACUCACCGUAAGAAGUUCGAGUGGCGGACGGGUGAGUAACACGUGGGUAACCUGCCCAAAAGAAGGGGAUAACAUUUGGAAACAAAUGCUAAUACCGUAUAACCAUGAUGACCGCAUGGUCAUGAUGUAAAAGGUGGUUUUGCUAUCGCUUUUGGAUGGACCCGCGGCGUAUUAACUAGUUGGUAGGGUAACGGCCUACCAAGGUGAUGAUACGUAGCCGAGUUGAGAGACUGAUCGGCCACAAUGGGACUGAGACACGGCCCAUACUCCUACGGGAGGCAGCAGUAGGGAAUCUUCCACAAUGGACGGAAGUCUGAUGGAGCAACGCCGCGUGAAUGAAGAAGGUCUUCGGAUCGUAAAAUUCUGUUGUUAGAGAAGAAUAUGAGUAAGAGUAACUGCUUAUUCACUGACGGUAUCUAACUAGCAAGUCACGGCUAACUACGUGCCAGCAGCCGCGGUAAUACGUAGGUGGCAAGCGUUGUCCGGAUUUAUUGGGCGUAAAGGGAACGCAGGCGGUUUUUUAAGUCUGAUGUGAAAGCCUUCGGCUUAACCGAAGAAGUGCAUUGGAAACUGGAAGACUUGAGUGCAGAAGAGGAGAGUGGAACUCCAUGUGUAGCGGUGAAAUGCGUAGAUAUAUGGAAGAACACCAGUGGCGAAAGCGGCUCUCUGGUCUGUAACUGACGCUGAGGUUCGAAAGCAUGGGUAGCGAACAGGAUUAGAUACCCUGGUAGUCC